GUACUUUCAUGCACAUGUCCUCGAAAUGGCAAAGAAGGAGAACUUCAAGAGCAUCCUAAAUGAUGAUCCUGGGUCUUCAACAGGACAAGAUGCAAGUUACAGUGUGGUGUGAGGUCUGUGCAUGGCGCAUGUGUCUCAAUGAUUCCUCAGCAACAUCAGACCUUCUUGAAGGAGAGCACAUGGCGAGACUUCCUAGGCUCAACUACACUACAGAGCAGCUGAUAAUUUCUUUAUUCACAGAGGUCCGGCUUCCUUGGGAUUACUUUAAUUGGAGUUUGGCAAGCAAUAAUAAUUUAACAUGUGGCCUGGCAUGUGUUCUUGCCCCAUUUCAGAACUACAGGCUACAUUCGUAGCAAAAGGAAGAGUAAUCCAGUUAUUUCAUUGUGUAUGGAAAACAACAUCAAAAUUUAGUAACUUGAAAUAUCCACAUUAAUUUUGCACUCUAUAAUUUGAAGGUUGAGAAAUUAACUGCAGCCUACUUGUGAUUACUUACCAUUGCCUGAGCCACUCCAACUCAUUGACAGAAUCUAUACACAUCAGCAUCUGUGUCUUACAGUAAGGUGGAGAUGGAUGGAUGUCAUUGGAGAGACUAUUGCACAGUAUUUCUUAAAGUCACUGGCUUUAUAAAGUUCACAAGUGCAAAUGCUCACUGAAUGAACAAGAGACUGUUCAAGUGAUUUGCUUAAACAUGUUGCUAUGAGCAGUCCCUAAUAUGCAUGGGGUAGGGAAUGAUGGUAAGAGGGCUGUCUAGACAACCAGCAAAGAAA
rnacentral:lncRNA from 1 species